GUCCACGCCGUAAACGAUGUCAACUUGGAGUCUGUGCCAUUGAGCGUGGGCUCCGAAGCUAACGCGAUAAGUUGACCGCCUGGGGAGUACGGCCGCAAGGUUAAAACUCAAAUGAAUUGACGGGGGCCCCGCACAAGCGGUGGAGCAUGUGGUUUAAUUCGAUGCAACGCGAAGAACCUUACCUGGCCUUGACAUGUCUGGAACCUUGUAGAGAUACGAGGGUGCCUUCGGGAAUCAGAACACAGGUGCUGCAUGGCUGUCGU
rnacentral:rRNA from 1 species